GACGAACGCUGGCGGCGUGCUUAACACAUGCAAGUCGAACGAUGAACCCGGAGCUUGCUCCGGUGGAUUAGUGGCGAACAGGUGAGUAACACGUGAGUAACCUGCCCUUGACUCUGGGAUAACUGCGGGAAACUGUAGCUAAUACCGGAUACGACCCUCGGCGGCAUCGCCAGGGGGUGGAAAGAAUUUCGGUCAAGGAUGGACUCGCGGCCUAUCAGCUAGUUGGUGAGGUAACGGCUCACCAAGGCGACGACGGGUAGCCGGCCUGAGAGGGUGACCGGCCACACUAGGACUGAGACACGGCCCAGACUCCUACGGGAGGCAGCAGUGGGGAAUAUUGCACAAUGGGCGCAAGCCUGAUGCAGCAACGCCGCGUGGGGGAUGACGGCCUUCAGGUUGUAAACCUCUUUUAGUAGGGAAGAAGCGAAAGUGACGGUACCUGCAGAAAAAGCACCGGCUAACUACGUGCCAGCCGCCGCGGUAA
rnacentral:rRNA from 1 species